UUUACUACCCUAAAUGAUACUCCGAUGAAUACAAAAUUGACCCUAUUUCCAGUUAGUUCUUCAAAAGGUAUCUAUAGAAAAGAAAUUACAGGGUGACAGGGGCCCACUUUGAGGCUCUAUCUACAUAUUGUCAACAUGCUUUCCAAAAAGGUUGUGGCAAUUUACAUCGCAAUUAUAUAAUUUUGAAAAACCUCUGCCCCCUUAGUCUUCCUCAAUUUCAGAAACCAGGUCUCUUCUAGAGAGAUGGGGCCCCCUGGCCUUGUGUAUAACUAAACAAUACUUGGUCAAUGGCUACAGCUGGGUUUUUCCCAAAGAAGCUUUCAUCUCAUUUCACUUCGUUAAACGAACACACAACACUUGCUAAAAGAGGGAAGAAGGGUCUUUAUUGUUUUUUAAAGGCCCCUGUGAGCAGGCCAUGGUGAAAGUCCAGGACACGACACAGCUGGGUCUAUCCCAAUCAUAUACACAUCAGGAUGAGCAGGUCUAAAAGAGAAACGCCCCAUUCCAAAUGGCAGCGGCAGCUCAGAGCUGUGUGGCCAAAAUGCCCAUUAGCUGUUUGUCAGGAGUAUUUUUAGAAAGCGCAGAACACGACUGGGAGGAGAACCGUGCUGCCCUGUGCCCUCUCCCCGGGAUCCAUCGCCGAAGCCUCCAGAAGCUGCCUGCUAUCAGCUGCACUCCCCACGCUGACAAGCCCAGCACACACAACACACCCCAGACAGCAUUAAAGGUGCCCCUGAGCAAGGACACACGUCUGCCCCCAAAAUCUGUCUGAGGAGCCUCACAAUAUUCACUUACUGCAGGGAGCUUCUGUUAUCAGAAUGCGCAGACAUGUGGAAAUUAGCAUCAGAUCUCUGAAACGCAAUGAUCUGGGGGAAAAUCCCAUGAUCUAAAUCAUAGAUGUCAUACCUUGCAAUCUGUCUAAUGUUCCAAAAAUGUCCAUUUUCAUUGCUGUUCUCGAGGCCUAUGGUCUUCCACAGUGAACGAGGCUUGUGCGUACAGUAAGGCAGAACAGGGUCGAUCAAUUAACCUCUCUGAACCUCAGUUUCCUCAUCAGAAAAGUAGGGCCAAAUAGUAAUGUCUGCCUCAUAAGGGUCUUGUGAAAAUUCAGAACCCUUGGCCUGUAAAAGGCCCUCAGGAAGUGCUAAUUUUAAUGCCGGUGGUCAUGGUACAGUUCAAAAGCAGAUUUAUCCAGCUAUAAAUUCCUGGCACAUUUUACUUCUGGAAACCACUGCGCUCUAGCCUUUCCACCAGAGGAAGGGAGAGAAAAGAAAUGAAACCUAAAAGUCACAUUUGCAUUAUCUCAGCCAGCAUCAUCUCACAUAAUGGGAAGAGGAAUUUGUAACAACUUCUAAAAAUGAAACUGUCAAGUGACCAGUGGCUAUUCCUGUCUCCAUUAUGCAUCUAUUAGAAGCUGAAGAGACAUACAAAGGACGUACAUUUGCGUGAACUCUGCACAGCACCAGGACCUUCUUCUGACUCCGUCUCCCCUCUUCUAACAUGAGAAGAAUGGACUGGAGAAAACCUGCUCAGGAACCUUAGUCCAGGCAGGAGACGAAGAUGCCUUGUGUGGGGACGGCGGCAGGGCGAAGUUUCAGGUUUUCACUCAGAAAGUUCACAAAACUCUGGCACCUACUCCUGUUUUGUCAGCAAGUGCAGUGGAUGAAACAGUAAUUGAGCAAGUAAGCAACUAUUGCAGCAAAAAUUCAAAACUGCUAGUCUGCUUAGUUAACAACUUUUCCCUUCCCCACGCUCAUUUUGUUCACUGGCAGUUUAGAUUGCACUCUUAACACAACAUCCUAUUUUCUGUCAGUGAAGUUGUUCUUAGUUCAUAUAAUGGAAUCCACUGGUUCAACAUUGUUCGGAACGAACGCCAUUCUUGGCUACCUGAACGUUUUUGAGAACUGCAGUUCUAAGUUUCUGCCACCGUGCUAGCCUUCUGCUACGGGCUGAAUUGUGUCCUCCCCAAAUUCACAUGUGGAAGCCCUAACUUCUAAUAACUCAGAACGUGAGUGUAUGUGGAAGUAGGGCCUUUAAUGAGAUGAUUUAGGUAAAAUGAGGUCGUUAGGGUGAGCCCUAAUGGAUUACAAUAUGCCUGUCAUCCUCAGAAGAGGCAAUUUAGACACACAGAGAGACACUGGGACAUGCACGCACAGGGAAAAGGCAAUGAGAGGACACAUAAGGAGGCAGCCAUCUGCAAACCAAGGAGAGAGGCCUCAGGAGAAACCGAACCUGCUGACAUCCUGAUCUUGAACUACGAGCCUCCAGAACCGUGAGAGAAUAAGUAUGUGUUGUUUAGGCCUCUCAGUCUGAUGUCUUGUUGUAACAGCCCCC